UUGGAUUACCCCAGCUGGGCAGUGCUUUGCUCCUGAAUGGAUUCCCCUUGGGUUAAGUUCUGGAAGCUGGCAAGUCCAAGAUCGAGGUGUUGGCAGAUUCAGUGUCUGUUGUCAAACCUCCAGCAUAUGAGGACCAGUAUACCAGCUGAG